rnacentral:rRNA from 1 species
UAAAAGUGGCGCACGGGUGAGUAACACGUGACUAACCUACCUUUUGAGCGGGGGAGUAACCUAGGGAAACCUGGGCUAAUACCGCAUAAUACCUACGGGUCAAAGCGAGCAAUCGCACUUAAAGAGGGGGUCGCGGCAGAUUAGCUAGUUGGUGAGGUAAUGGCUCACCAAGGCAAUGAUCUGUAUCCGGCCUGAGAGGGCGCACGGACACACUGGAACUGAAACACGGUCCAG